rnacentral:rRNA from 1 species
CAUGGUCGCCUGUUUAAUCAAAAACAUGUCUUUUUGUUUAUAAUAUAAAGUCUGGUCUGCCCACUGAAAUUUUUAAAGGGCCGCAGUAUUUUGACUGUGCAAAGGUAGCAUAAUCAUUUGCCUUCUAAUUAGAGGCUGGAAUGAAUGGCUGGACGAGGUGUAAACUGUCUCAUUUUAAUAAUAUUAAGAAUUUAACUUUUGAGUCAAAAGGCUUAAAUUUAUUUAAAGGACGAGAAGACCCUAUAGAUUUUUAUAAAUUUAAUGAUUAAAAAUUUUAGUAGAUAAUUAUUUUUUUUUUAAUGAAAUUUAUUUUGUUGGGGUGACAUUAAGAUUAAUUUAACUCUUAAACUAUUAGUACAUAGAUUAAUGAAUUUUUGAUCCAUUAUUAGUGAUUAUUAGAAUAAGUUACCUUAGGGAUAACAGCGUAAUUUCAUUAGAGAGUUCUAAUCGAUAAUGAAGAUUGCGACCUCGAUGUUGAAUUAAAGAUAUUUCUGGGUGCAGAAGUUCAGAGAAAUGGGUCUGUUCGACCUUUAAAUCUUUACAUGAUCUGGUUUCAAACC